UCCAUCCCCUCUUUAAUUCCUUUCAUCUUCUGCCCUCGAUAACCAUAAGCAGUCCCAUCAAAACAUCGAGACACAAAAAACCCCAGAAGUGUUUAAUUCAUCCCAUUAAAAUUCGACGGUUGAAGGCCAUUAAAUUAUGAGAAAUUGAAUGUGAGAACUCCGAAAGGGAAAAGGAAAAAUUGUGGGUAGUUGUUAGUGGUGAAAUUGCUUGCGAAAUAGGUGCUGUGGGUGUGAGGGCUUGGCGAAAGACUCAAUUUUUAUGCAACUUUGAAACUUUAAUACGAUCAGAGGAUACAGACAACUGGAAAUUUUUUGUGUGGCACUUAAAGAAUCUGUUGAAGGAUAGUGGAAGAGGUGAUCAAUGGUGCAUUAUUUCUGAUAGAUAGAAGGGUAUAGAAGCAGCUCUGAAAGAGUUGUGUCCCAAAGUUGGAAGGAGAAAAGCCAUGGAGCAACAACAAAAAGGCAACCCUGCUGCAUUGAUAUGGCUUUCAAAGGCUGGGGAACAGUCCACCUGGACUAAACAUAAGUUUAAUGAGGAAAUCAAGUGUGAUGUUAACAAAAGUAAUUUUGUUGAAAGUUUAAUGCAACUCUAGGAAUUGAUAGAGCAAGACCUGUACUGACUUUGUUAGAAGGUAUAAGGAGAGCAAUAAUGGUGAGAGUGUGCAAUAGGAAACAAAAGGCAGCAAAUUGGAAUGACAAUGACAUAUGUCCUAACAUUUUGAAGAGGCUGCAAGAAAUGACACAAGAAUCUUGGGCAUGUAAGGAAUACCCUAGUGAUGAUGGAUAUGAGAUCCAAGAUGGUAAGUCCAUCCUCACUGUAAGUCUUAGUGAACAAAGAUGUCUGGGUGGUGUGUGGCAAAUCUCUAGAAUAGGGAAAUAAGGGUUUAAAGAGGGAGAAUAGGGAAGGAGAGAGGAUUCGAUGUUUUAUAACAGGUGGUAAGUCCCUUUGGAGGGAAAAACUUAACCAUAGUUAAUCAUAUUAUAUCUAAUAUGAUGAUUAAUGUUAUAACUAUGAUUAAUUUUAUAAGUAGGGUCAUUUUAUGAAAAAAGGAGGUCACCAUUUCAGUGUUACACAAAUUGGGGGUUACCAUAGAGAAUUUCCCAUAAAGUAGAGGCCUGUUUUUAGGGCAAGUUCAAUCUCUUUU